rnacentral:rRNA from 1 species
AGUGAACGCUGGCGGUAGGCCUAACACAUGCAAGUCGAACGGCAGCACAGUAAGAGCUUGCUCUUACGGGUGGCGAGUGGCGGACGGGUGAGGAAUACAUCGGAAUCUACUUUUUCGUGGGGGAUAACGUAGGGAAACUUACGCUAAUACCGCAUACGACCUACGGGUGAAAGCAGGGGAUCUUCGGACCUUGCGCGAUUGAAUGAGCCGAUGUCGGAUUAGCUAGUUGGCGGGGUAAAGGCCCACCAAGGCGACGAUCCGUUGCUGGUCGGAGAGGAUGGUCGGCCACACUGGAACGGGGACACGGUCCAUACGCCUACGGGAGGCAGCAGUGGGGAAUAUUGGACAAUGGGCGCAAGCCUGAUCCAGCCAUACCGCGUGUGUGAAGAAGGCCUUCGGGUUGUAAAGCCCUUUUGUUGGGAAAGAAAAGCAGCAGGUUAAUACCCCGCUGUUCUGACGGUACCCAAAGAAUAAGCACCGGCUAACUUCGUG